CUUCUUUAACUUUAAAAUGUUAUUCUUACAGAAUACACAGGUAAAACUUCUACAGGCACCGUGCAUGUUAAAGUACCCAGUUUUAAUGAAAAUUGUCCACCAGUGGUCCUGGAGAAGGACGAAGUCUGUGGUCCCUCACCUUCUGUGGUUGUCUCUGCUCAAAACCUGCAAAGGGACAGAUACCCUGGUCCCUACACAUUUUCACUGGAAAAGAAACUGCAGAAGUUGCCAGUUGUUUGGACUAUCACAGCACUCAAUGGUGAGUAAGAGGAAAGUUGCUUCCAUAAAUAAAAGUUGCACUUCUUUAUGUUUCCAGAAGAGUAUGAGAAUUCAUUGGAGAGCAGGUUUCCAAGAAUUAUUAAAAAAAAAAAAUCUUUGUUAUAAAGAUGUGACCUCUCACUUCAGAAAAGAAAUAGUAAGAUAAAAUGUUAGCACCACUUAAAAUUUUCUGGUUUUUAUUGAAUAACUUUUAUAUUUCUAGUGUAUUUAUUUCUACCUCCACAGUAGAAAAAAAAUAGGGUCAGGCAUCUAUUUUUUUUCAGAGAAAUGUCUAUAUCUCUCCAUACAUAAGGUUUUCCUAAUGGGGCUGGCAGUAAGCAGACAGGAAGCACUGGAAAAACCCACUCGCCGAUGGAGUAUAUUUAUUCCUUUUUUCUUUAUCUUUUUUGUGCUCGUUUUGUAUUUUGUUUCUUCGAGAAGUUUUAUGUAUAUGAUGUUAGACUUAAUAAAAAUCUGUUCCUUUGGGGAAUUUUAUUUUGGCCAUCAGUCCAUUUCAGAUCCCUUGUAAACUCACUCACUUUCCUUAGCUCUUACCCACACCAGUCCUGCCUCCUUUCAUGGACAUGGUCCGUGGUGCCCUAUAGUCAUAGAUUACAGCCAUCACCGGAGUCAAAAAGAUUUUGUUCUGUGUCACCUUCUGCCCUUGGGCCUUUCUGAUGCUGGUUAAAGAUCUAGCUCCAAACUACACAUAUAGCAUUUGGCUCAAAAUGAGUUUACCUGAUACAUAGUCACUAAAGAUGCCACUAAGAGAGGGCCAGCACAGGAAACCAGCUCAGUUGAGUCUGGGCAGGGCAACCAUGGUUGGACAGGGUGAACAAGACCCAAUGUGACAGAACAUGGAGAGGUCAAGAGUGAUUCAAACAGCAGCACUGCUGUGGGAUCCCACUUAGAAAGGGGCAAUGUUGCCAUGGAGACUAGGGAACAACUGGUGCUCAGGAGUCAGGCAAUAGGUGACACCCCUGGGAAUCCCAUCCAACAGGCCAUAAUCUCCUGGAAUGAGAACUAGGAGGAGCAGGUGCAGUAGCAGCAGCCAAAGCUGAAGUUCACUGUUGAUGAGGCAGACCCAAGAACAUGGAGUUCAGGGUAAGGCGUACACUCAGAAGGCCACAUGCAUCUGAGUGUAGACAUACAGGAAAGUAGUAAUGCCAUGGUAUAGGAGCCUAAUAUUUGCAUCAUGCUCAUCUCCUAUCCUCUGGUGAGAAAAGCAAGCAAGAUUGAGUCUUCAUGGUGAGGAACAACGGGGUGUCUGGGUCAGAGAGGACAAGAAGGCAUGUAGACAGAUUUACCCAAUUGAUCUCUUAGAGCCCCUCAUUGCUGCUCCGUUCACAUCAGCCCUCUGUUUGUGCCAGUAAAGCAUUCUAGCACUGUUAUCAAAAAUAAGUCAUUUUAAGAAAGGAAUAUACUUGUUCUUACUAUUGAUUGUAUGGUUUUUUUUCCAGGUACCUUUGCUUUCCUGAGAGCCCAGCAAAAGAUGUCUCCUGGAGUGUACAGAAUUCCCCUCAUAAUUACGGACAAUCAGGACAGGCAGUGUGACACACCAGAGAUCUUGACUCUGACAGUCUGUGACUGUGACAACAGGGAUGUCUGUGGAGCUUCUUCCAUAGACAAAGAACCUAAGCCCACGUACAGAAAUGGGCCCUCAAGACUGGGACCUAAUGCCAUUGGCUUGCUCCUCCUCGGACUCUUGAUGUUGCUGUGUGAGUAUCCACCGCCUAGCUCUGUGUCCACUAGGGUGGCAACACUUGCAAUGAUUUUGUGUUUUCUUUUUUUUUCUGUGCAUUGUGAGUAUAGUUCUUGUUAUGUCAUUUUAUACGCAUAGCUGGGAGGAAAUGGCAUUCUUUUGGAAAGAAUCUGGAAAGUUUAACUUGUCACUUGCUAUCAAUCUAUAUGAACAUAGCAAAGAAACUCAUAUAUGCAGACAUUUAGAAUGGGAGAGGCGGAUCAAGAGUGGGGCAGCUGACUCAUGCAGCUGGUUAUGUAUUUGGGUCAUUGUUAUGCCGCUUGUGUAGGCUGGAUGUUUCCUAGUGUUCUAAUGCUAAUAUUGAAGAAUGAAGAAAUUAUCAAGAAGAUUCUCUUCCUACUGCCAGUAAUAUUCAUGGGCCAUAAGCAUGGUGCAUUUUUUUCCUCUUUAUCUUCUUUGUGGUUGUUUUUUUUUUUUUCUCUUUGCAGUGUUGAAGAUCACCCAGGGCCUUGUUAACACUCCAGCUCUGACCAGUAUCCCCAGCCCCAGCACUUUCUAAGAUGCUUCUCCAUAUUCAAGUCCCAUGAGAUUCUAAAAUAGAAAGAAAACCCUAGUCAAACAAACUUAGGGGAAAUAAACAAGCCUGUCAUAGACUUUGAGCUUUACAAUGUGCAUUAAAAGAGCAUGGCUCUGAGAAGUUAUUGUUUAAUCCAGCAUUUCCUCAAAGAAAGAGCUAACUACCUGAAUAUAUAUCAUUUUAAGACUUAAGGGUUAAGUAUAUUGAACACAUUUAGGGAAGCUACACAUAUGUAUUAUUUUUUAAUAAAAUUAAAAUUUAUUUUAUUCAGCAGACAGAUUUCUGGAAAUUUUCAUUCAAAUCAAAAUCCUGUGAAUCAAACAGUAAGAGGUCACUAUUUAAAAGAAUUUUGUGACAAAUUCAUGUAUAAAUAAGAGAAAUCCUUGAUCCAUUCACAAUAACUACCCCAAUUUAUUAUAGAGUCAUAGAUAUUUAGGGCUAAAUUUUCAUGAUGAUACUUUCUACUUCAAUUCCUUCUUUUAAAUUUCUUUUGAUUUAUGGAAUCAAUUAAACCACUAAAAAAGAACAGAAAAUUUUAUUAAAAACAUACAUAUAACCAUCACUCAGACUUAACAAAUAUGUCCUCAGAUCACUUUUUUUUUCAAUUAAGAAAAUCAUUUUUUGGACUGGGAUUGUAGCUAUCAUGUGCGAGGCCCUGGGUUCGAUCCGCAGCACCACAUAAAAAUAAAUAAAUAAAAUAAAGAUAUUGUGUCCAACUACAACUAAAAAUAAAUAUUCUUAAAAAAUAAAAGAAAAGAAAAUCAUUUUUAUAGGGCUGGGGUUGUGGCUCAGCAGUAGAGUGCUCACCUAGGCAUGACCAAGGCCCUGGGUUCAAUCCUCAGCACCACAUAAAAAAUAAGUAAAUAAAAUAAAGGUAUUCUGUCCAAAUACAACUAAAAAAAUAUUUUUUUUUAAAAACCCUCUGAGCUAGGGACUCAUUCUCAAGUCACAAUUAAGAAUCCAUUCAUCACCAUUUGUUAGGGUCAUCUCUCUAGGUGCUUAAGGUGUUUGCUGAUCAAGUACUAUUUACUAAGAACCGAUUAGAAACCAAAUUACUAAAACAAUAUCAUACCCACCUAAAGUCUUGGGCAUUCAGGUAUCAUAGUCAUCUCCACAUUCACCUAACACAAUAUAUAUUUAGCUUCAAUAUGUACAAAGAAACACAAUCAUCAAAAAAUCUAUGCAGGAAAAGGAUUGAGGAACUGAGCAACCCCCUUUAUCAUUCAUCAAACAAGUGUGUCUUCAACAACAAUAUACCUGCAACGAGAAAUGAUCUGGCCUGUCUCCUUCCAUUUUGUAAUAAUUUGAAAUUCUAGCAUGCUCAAUUUACUACCUUUUAUUUUUUUUAAUAUUUUUUAGUUGUUGAUAGACCUUUUAUUUUAUUUAUUUAUAUGUGGUGCUGAGAAUCAAACCCAGUGCCUCACACAUGCCAGGCAAGUACUCUACCGCUGAGCCACAACCCCAGCCCCUACAUUUUAUUCUGUAUAAAUCAAUUUUACUUUUUAUUAGGAAUUUUUCCUUAAGUAUUUUAAAAUUUUUAUUUUCUUUGUAACAUGUCUGACAGUUGUCAUGUCAAAUGGUGUUUGAGUAAUUGAAAUGUUCUGAUUAUUUGGUCUUGUUUUUCACUAGUGGCCCCCCUUCUGCUGCUGACCUGUUCCUGUGGGACAACUCCCAUCGGAGGGGUGACAGGUGGUUUCAUCCCAGUUCCUGAUGGUUCUGAAGGGACAAUUCAUCAGUGGGGAAUCGAAGGAGCCCAACCUGAGGACAAGGUAGGGGUUCUGUUUGUAACG
rnacentral:lncRNA from 1 species